CUCAGAAUGAACGCUGGCGGCAUGCCUAACACAUGCAAGUCGAACGAGAUCUUCGGAUCUAGUGGCGCACGGGUGAGUAACGCGUGGGAACCUACCUUUUAGUACGGGACAACGUUUGGAAACGAACGCUAAUACCGUAUACGCCCUCCGGGGGAAAGGUCAGCCGCUGAAAGAGGGGCCCGCGUCUGAUUAGCUUGUUGGUAAGGUAACGGCUUACCAAGGCAACGAUCAGUAGCUGGUCUGAGAGGAUGAUCAGCCACACUGGGACUGAGACACGGCCCAGACUCCUACGGGAGGCAGCAGUGGGGAAUAUUGGACAAUGGAGGCAACUCUGAUCCAGCAAUGCCGCGUGUGUGAUGAAGGCCCUAGGGUUGUAAAGCACUUUCAACGGUGAAGAUGAUGACGGUAGCCGUAGAAGAAGCCCCGGCUAACUUCGUGCCAGCAGCCGCGGUAAUACGAAGGGGGCGAGCGUUAUUCGGAAUUAUUGGGCGUAAAGGGCUCGCAGGCUGCUUGAACAGUUAGACGUGAAAUCCCCGGGCUCAACCUGGGAACUGCGUUUAAUACUAGCAAGCUAGAGAAAUAGAGAGGAAAGUGGAACUCCCAGUGUAGAGGUGAAAUUCGUAGAUAUUGGGAAGAACACCAGUGGCGAAAGCGACUUUCUGGCUAUUUUCUGACGCUGAGGAGCGAAAGCGUGGGGAGCAAACAGGAUUAGAUCCCCUGGUAGUCCACGCCGUAAACGAUGUGUGCUAGCUGUUGGGAAACGCUUUUCAGUGGCGCAGCUAACGUCUUAAGUUGUCCGCCUGGGGAGUACGGCCGCAAGGUUAAAACUCAAAUGAAUUGACGGGGACCCGCACAAGCGGUGGAGCAUGUGGUUUAAUUCGAUGCAACGCGAAAAACCUUACCUACACUUGACAUACUUGGAAUCUUUUGUAAUGAAGCAGUGCCUUCGGGAGCCAAGAUACAGGUGCUGCAUGGCUGUCGUCAGCUCGUGUCGUGAGAUGUUCCGUUAAGUCGGAUAACGAGCGCAACCCUUACCCUUAUUUGCCAGCGAUUCGGUCGGGAACUAUAAGGGGACUGCCGGUGAUAAACCGGAGGAAGGUGAGGACGACGUCAAGUCAUCAUGGCCCUUACGAGUAGGGCUACACACGUGCUACAAUGGGGAAUACAGACGGACGCUAAGCCGCGAGGUGGUGCUAAUCCUAUAAAGUUCUUCGUAGUCCGGAUUGGAGUCUGCAACUCGACUCCAUGAAGUCGGAAUCGCUAGUAAUCGCGAAUCAGCAUGUCGCGGUGAAUACGUUCUCGGGUCUUGUACACACCGCCCGUCACACCAUGGAAGUGGAUUGCACCAGAAGUAGAUAGUCUAACCUUAGGGAGGGCGUUUACCACGGUGUGUUUCAUGACUGGGGUGAAGUCGUAACAAGGUAGC
rnacentral:rRNA from 1 species